rfam:Triticum urartu cultivar G1812 contig1060456, whole genome shotgun sequence.
UAUAUACUCUCUCCGUCCGGAAAUACUUGUCCUCGAAUUGGAUAAAAUGGUUGUAUCUAUAACUAAAAUAAGUCUAGAUACAUCCAUUUCUAGGACAAGUAUUUCCGGACGGGGGGAGUAUGUA